UUUUCUUCUUUUUCAUAUUUUUGUUUGUCUAUUGACCGAUUCAGUGAUUAGCAGCCUUAAAAGAUUUGAUUUUUGUAAAAGAUGGCAAGAAACACUCAGAUUUGGACAAUAGUGAUUGGAUAUUGGAAACAAAUGAAGACAAAUACUAAAAGAUGAGUACAAAUAUUUGAAUCAUUGAGAGUGAUGUAUAAAAUGAAAUCAUAGUGAUGUAUAAAAUGAAAUCAUAGUCCAUUGUACAAUUGAGACAUAAAACACAACACAAUUUAUAUUUGAAAAACCAAAAUUAUUAAAUCGAACCAAAAUUACAUAAAUUGAACCAAACCAAAAUAAUUCUGUUCGGUUUCUGGUACACUUAAAUUGAGAAUCGAAAACCAAUAAAAAACCCACAACCAAACCAAAUUCCUGAAAACCCACUCCUAACGAAUGGUAUGUUGGCAAUCGUAUGUUAUCCAGUGUUGGAUGGUUGGAUUUUAAUUUUUGGAAUGGGUACGAUUUAUGGGUACCAAUCGUAUGAUUGGGUACAAACGGGACUUAGGAGUCGUACGUUGGUCAAUGCGGGGAUUGAGGUUCUGCUAGGAUACGAAUGGUGGAUACCACUCGUACCCUAGGGUACGGAUCAUAUGAUGGAAUCGUACCCUCCUGCAGGAUUUUAUAUAGUUUAAGUUGAGGGUAAUAUAGAGAUUUUUCCUCUUAACCUAUUAUGAUCCCACGACUUAUAACUCAUUUGGGACAUCAUUUACCCUAAUAUUCUAAUCUAAAACACUUAGAAACUCUCUCAAAUUCUCUUAAAGGCUCUUGGGUCAAGGAAGGCUAGGUUUCAUCAACAGUAUCAAAUUAGGACUUACAAGGGUGGUUUUCUUCAUCUUUUAUCUCAAUAUAAGGCAAGAUACUCCUCCCUCAUUGUUAUUUCCAAUUAAGACAUGUUUUAUGAAUUGAUUUCAUGGCAUAAUUGUUAUAUGGUUUUGAAAUUUUUAAAUAUAUGUUGGGGGUUUUGGUUAUAAUGGUUGGUAAUGAUUUUCCCAUGAUUUUCAUUUAUGGUUUGCAUAUUAUAAUGAUGGUUUGAACACUUGGUUGCAUGAAAAUGGUUAAUUGGUACUUGGUUUUGAUUUUGGAAACACUAUGCCCUCAACAUGCUUGAUAAAAUGCCUAUGAGAAUAUUUUUUACUAUAUUGUUGGACUUUUAAUGAAACUAUUUCAUGGUAUAACUUGGUAAUGAAAUUGUAAAUAAUAUAAAUGAUUUGAAAUGGUUAAAUGAUAAGGUCUUGGUGGUCAUGAUUGUGGUUAAUUGAACAUCCUUGUAGGGUACAAGGGAAUCUCCCAAGCAAAACUUAAUUAUGAUAUACUUGCGGGGUACAUGAAAAUCCCCCAAGUAAACUAAAUAAUGAAACCUGUGGGGUACAUGAGAAUCCCCUAAGGUUUGGAUAAGGACAUUGCUUGAAAGCUAUAGUUGGUAUGACGAUACCACUACUUAGAGCCUUGGUUAAUAAUAAAUGAAUGGUGGUUUGGUUAUGUGGAAAUGAUUUUAAUUGGACAAUAAUGGCGGGGUGUGAUAGCUAACCAUGAAGGUGUGAGUCCAAUGGAUGGACACUGGAAACAUAUGUUUACCGACAUGAGGAUCGGUCAUGAUGACCAUAUGGGGUACAUGGGAAUCCCCUAUGUCACACUUGUAUAUAUGUAUCAUGGAGAGCGAAGGGUGCCCCCAAGCAAAACUUAAUAAUGAUAUACUUGCGGGGUACAUGAAAUCUCCCAAGUAAACUAAAUAAUGAAAACUGUGGGGUACAUGAUUAUCCCCUAAGGUUUGUCUAAGGACAUUGCUUGCAAGCUAUAGUCGGUAUGACGAUACCACUACUUAUAGUCUUGGUUAAUAAUAAGUGAAUGGUGGUUUGGUUAUGUGGAAAUGGUUUUAAUUGGACAAUAAUGGCGGGGUGUGAUAGCUACCAUAAAGGUGUGAGUCCAAUGGACGGACACUGAAAACACAUGUUUGUCGACAUAAGGAUCGGUCAUAAUGACCAUAUGGGGUACAUGGGAAUCCCCUAUGUCAAACUUGUAUAUAUGUAUCAUAGAGAGCGAAGGGUGCUUGGGAACCCCCUACUCCUAUGGUAUCUCUGAUUCGUGCGGCUACAUACAUCAGGGCCCAUUCAGUGAGUUACAUUGGACCCAUAUAGCCCGUGGGUGGUUCUAGGAUGGUUAAGCUACAUAUGCCCAAGUUAAUGGUUUUAAUGCAUGCUAACCCCGAUUCCCUUUCCCGGCAUGG
rnacentral:lncRNA from 1 species